rnacentral:rRNA from 1 species
ACGGAAGGCAGCAGUGGGGAAUAUUGCACAAUGGAGGAAACUCUGAUGCAGCGACGCCGCGUGAGUGAUGAAGUAUUUCGGUAUGUAAAGCUCUAUCAGCAGGGAAGAUAGUGACGGUACCUGACUAAGAAGCUCCGGCUAAAUACGUGCCAGCAGCCGCGGUAAUACGUAUGGAGCAAGCGUUAUCCGGAUUUACUGGGUGUAAAGGGAGUGUAGGUGGUAUCACAAGUCAGAAGUGAAAGCCCGGGGCUCAACCCCGGGACUGCUUUUGAAACUGUGGAACUAGAGUGCAGGAGGGGUGAGUGGAAUUCCUAGUGUAGCGGUGAAAUGCGUAGAUAUUAGGAGGAACACCAGUGGCGAAGGCGGCUCACUGGACUGUAACUGACACUGAGGCUCGAAAGCGUGGGGAGCAAACAGGAUUAGAUACCCUGGUA